rnacentral:misc_RNA from 1 species
GAUGAAGAACGUAGCGAAAUGCGAUACGUAAUGUGAAUUGCAAAUUCAGUGAAUCAUCGAGUCUUUGAACGCACAUUGCGCCCCCUGGUAUUCCGGGGGGCAUGCCUGUCCGAGCGUCAUUGCUGCCCUCAAGCACGGCUUGUGUGUUGGGCCCCGUCCUCCGAUCCCGGGGGACGGGCCCGAAAGGCAGCGGCGGCACCGCGUCCGGUCCUCGAGCGUAUGGGGCUUUUUCACCCGCUCUGUAGGCCCGGCCGGCGCUUGCCGAUCAACCCAAAUUUUUAUCCAGGUUGACCUCGGAUCAGGUAGGGAUACCCGCUGAACUUAAGCAUAUCAAUAAGCGGAGGA